rnacentral:rRNA from 1 species
UACGUAGGGGGCAAGCGUUGUCCGGAAUCAUUGGGCGUAAAGAGCGUGUAGGCGGCCAAUUAAGUCCUGCGUGAAAUCUCGGGGCUCAACCCCGAGCGGUCGUGGGAAACUGGUUGGCUAGAGUGCGGGAGAGGAGAGUGGAAUUCCUGGUGUAGCGGUGAAAUGCGCAGAUAUCAGGAAGAACACCCGUGGCGAAGGCGGCUCUCUGGAACGCAACUGACGCUGAGACGCGAAAGCGUGGGGAGCGAACAGG